AGUAAUAUAUCGGAACGUGCCCUAGAGUGGGGGAUAACGUAGCGAAAGUUACGCUAAUACCGCAUACGAUCUAUGGAUGAAAGCGGGGGAUUCGCAAGAACCUCGCGCUCGUGGAGCGGCCGAUAUCUGAUUAGCUAGUUGGUGGGGUAAAAGCCUACCAAGGCGACGAUCAGUAGCUGGUCUGAGAGGACGACCAGCCACACUGGGACUGAGACACGGCCCAG
rnacentral:rRNA from 1 species